ensembl:lncRNA
CGCUUGUCUCCAGUUCCUUUAAUCACAGCACAUUAGCCAAAUGUGAUACACAGGAUCCAGCCUUUAGGUGGGGAGCGUGUUUUGCAGUGGCUCUCCUAACUCUUCAGGAGCUCUAACUCGACUUUCUGCACUGCUCUCCAAGCAAAAGGAAUCAUGCAAACAUCAUGCAAAGAACACACGCUUUGAGCACAGCGCGGGAGAGGUGGUGCAGCCUGGAGAAGGACUAUAAAAAAAGCCCUCGGUGGUGUGUGGGAAGGCUUAGGGGAAUAUUUCAGCACAUCAGGAGCUGAAUCACUGCAUGUAGGUGGAGCCAGACAGAUUGACAAGAUCUGCAACUUGAAAAAUGACCUAAGCCUGAGAUCAAUCAUCUCGCAAAGUCGCUGACGGAGGGGAACAACAGAUGGAUGUGGAUGGAGCGUCAGCGCCACCAAAACUUUCUCUCCUGCUGCAGCAGCACAUCAGGAAGGCAUGCUGGGGGAAGCCGUGAGCAGACGUCUCGUUGCCAUGCAUGGGAUUAAUGAAGGAUGCAGCUUCCAGGUAAUGACUGGGAGAAGUCGUGGAGCAGCACUUGAUGCAAAGCUAGGAAUUUAUUGCACAUCAGAUAAAAGCACGAAAAAUAAAUGAUUGUAAACCAAGCUUUCAAGUUUUACAGCCCUUCAGAUCAUUGCAUCGCAGUCAAAUCUGCUUCACGGGCUGAUCCAGGACAUAAAACUGUACUCAAAUUACAAGCAAACCCGAGUAAUAACUUCCUAAUUUCCUUCAGAAAGCCCAAACUCGGGGCCUAUUCAUCGCAAGAGCUGUACUUUGUCCAUGCAAAUGCACACAGCUCUCCUCAGCUGAGCAGUUCCUGAGCUCUGCCACUAGAGACAAACCACCACCAGGUCACUCCCUGCCCUACUAUUCCAGUUCUGCACCAUCUCGAAGCAUUUCCCUUUGUGACCCCGCGUGGUACCAAGAACGCACUCAACAUUAAGAGAUUAACUGAAUGGAUUCAAUAAUGGCUUGCCUUGUUUGGUAAAUAAAACUUAUUAGCAGCCGUUGGCACUGGGUCUGUGUCAUCAAUACUCAAUGACAAAGCCAGCCCGUAACCCUGGCAAUCAUUUCUAAUGCCAUUUGGCAGGUCACGCUGGAGUUCAAAAUGUUAUGGCUGCAGAUCAGCCCUCAGCAGACACUGCUCUGUGCUGCUCUCACACGCAGCAGCUGGCCAUGGGGUUAAACAAAAGGGCAAUGCUCUGCCCUCAUUAGUUCAAGGCAGCACGGCUGAUCUCUGAUCAUCCGAGGGCAAACCUGAGCUUUUGGCUCGCUGCAUCCAACCCAGGGUGUGAUAUUCUGGUUUACAGCAGGGAGCUGUGGUGCAUAUCGUGGCUCUGAUAAGUCUGUGUGGUGUGUGACAGCAGUUAUGAACAUGCACUUCAUUAGAUAGGGGGUAACUGCACCUUAUGGACAGGGUGUGAGCCAAAGAUUUGCAUGGGCGCCCUGACUCCUGGAGUUUGGUCUUACGUUUGGGAUUGCAUGCAUACAAAUAGGGCUGACUGGAGAGUUAACCCUAAAAACCUGACUUUCCCUUCAUCCCACCCUCUCUCCUCACGUUAUCCUACCUUCUCUUUGAGCAUCAGGCUACGUGGAACGGGCUCUCUGUAAAGCAAGACCAAUAGGACGUGCCUCAGGUGCUUGGAGAUGGGCCGUCCUUCCCUAUGUUCUGCUCUACCACCUCCUGCAAAGUAGUAAAGAGUGGGAGUGAAUUACAGAAACGAAUAGAGGAAGCAGCAAGGCUCAGCCAGAAGGAAGCUGAGCACGUAGGAAAGAUGGGGAGGGCCCUUUUUGCAGCCAGGCACCAAAGGACCAGCAGCAAAACUCAGCUGACCAAGGAAACUUUAUCAGCACGGCACACUGCCUCUCCCCUCUGCUCCUCACACUGCUGUCAGCCUGGGAGAGAUUAGCUUUCAGCAAGACAGCUGCAAAAUGCAUGCAAUGUUUUGUUCCCUUUCACCUUCAUUUACACUCCCAUUCAGCGUUUCCUUCGCUUACAGAAAGGAGCAGGACAGCCUGCCAGAGCUAUAGAGAAGCAGAAUUACCUCCACCAGCAGCUGAUAAACUGCCACUGCUGGAAAGCUUCCAUUCAGCAGCCUGCUUGGCACAAAGCAAACGCUU